CGGCAAGCAGGGCAUGAUGGGGGACAUAGGUUGGCAUCCCUCUGCCCAAAUGUUGAUCCUGACCCAUGGAGCUGUCCCUUGCCAUUGACUGUAAGGCUGGGCCCUGCUGCCGCCAGGCCUGGUUGACAGACCUGUCUUUGCAGGUUUCUACCCACGAGACCAGAACAGAAAACGACAUGGAGGUCAUCGACCUCUCGCCCCAGACCUGGGAGUCUGGGCAUCAUGCCACCAACAUUGACCAGAGCAGGCUGGAGACAGAGAAACUCUGACUGUGUGUUCCUAUUUUGUCCCUGACGCCUACAUGCCAGUGGGAAAAUGAACCUCCAGAAAACAUAGAGAAGACCAGCCCAGAACUGAUGUUGCCCAGGGAGAGAAGGCAGGAGGAGCGUGGCCAGCUUCUGGGGAGAUUUGGACGUUACCCCUGCAGGCCGCAGGCCUUGCCUGUCACCAGUGAAAUCUCCUGCUUCCGGGGCGCCUGGCUGGAACGCUGCACAGCAGAUACCUUUCCCAUCGCGGUCUCUACCAUCCUCAGUGCUGUGGUGUGCAGAAUUGAAAUGAACAUCAUGGGAUCAGGUUGGCAGUGCCAGGC
rnacentral:lncRNA from 1 species